UACGUAGGGCGCGAGCGUUGUCCGGAAUUAUUGGGCGUAAAGAGCUCGUAGGUGGCUUGUUGCGUCUGCCGUGAAAGCCCGUGGCUUAACUACGGGUCUGCGGUGGAUACGGGCAGGCUAGAGGCUGGUAGGGGCAAGCGGAAUUCCUGGUGUAGCGGUGAAAUGCGCAGAUAUCAGGAGGAACACCGGUGGCGAAGGCGGCUUGCUGGGCCAGUUCUGACGUGAGGAGCGAAAGCGUGGGGGAGCGAACAGG
rnacentral:rRNA from 1 species